UACGAAGGGGGCUAGCGUUGCUCGGAAUUACUGGGCGUAAAGCGCACGUAGGCGGCUUUCUAAGUCGGGGGUGAAAUCCUGGAGCUCAACUCCAGAACUGCCUUCGAUACUGGAGAGCUUGAGUCCGGGAGAGGUGAGUGGAACCGCGAGUGUAGAGGUGAAAUUCGUAGAUAUUCGCAAGAACACCAGUGGCGAAGGCGGGUCUCGUGGGCAGUAACUGACGCUGAGGAGCGAAAGCGUGGGGAGCGAACAGG
rnacentral:rRNA from 1 species